AUUUUCAUAGUUUAAAUAAAACCUUGUAUUUUCAUUACAAAAAUGGAGCUUUACUCCUGUAAAUU
rnacentral:tRNA from 1 species